rnacentral:rRNA from 1 species
CCCUUAGAUGUUCUGGGCCGCACGCGCGCUACACUGAUGCAUUCAACGAGUUUCUUCCUGGUCCGAGAGGAAUGGGUAACCUUUUGAAAAUGCAUCGUGAUAGGGAUAGACUAUUGCAAUUAUUGGUCUUCAACGAGGAAUUCCUAGUAGACGUAGUUCAUCAGACUGCAUCGAUUACGUCCCUGCCCUUUGUACACACCGCCCGUCGCUCCUACCGAUUGAAUGCUCAGGUGAGCCAUUCGGACUUUCAUCAUGCUGGUUUCCAGUUUUGAUGAAGGAAAGCCUUGCGAACCUUAUCAUUUAGAGGAAGGAGAAGUCGUAACA